rnacentral:tRNA from 1 species
GUCUACUUAACUUAAACAAAGUUUAUAUUUUGAAAAUAUAAAAUAGGUUCACACACCUAGUAGUCU